GCUCCAUGUGUUUUAAAUGAAAAAAAAAAAAACACAGAGUCUGUUGUGAAAGACUGAUGUGUCAAUUACUCUGUAGUAAGAUGGUUGUAAUAUUGGCUACUGCCACAUACCUUUUUGAGAAUGUAGUAUAUUUGGAUUCUUCUAUUUUUGAGUAAUGCUUCAAUUGCGAGAGUUUGCUCCCGGUAGAUAUUUUGACUUCUGCCAUUAAUUUGAAGAGUCAAGAUAAAAUUAAACAUAUCAGUUUCGUUCGUCCCAUUUUGGAUCUAUUUUAUAAGGUUUGACAACAUUUUAUAUUGGCCGUUGACUGUCUAAUACAAAGGUCUACCUUUAUCCAGGCUUGAGACGGGCUAUUUUACCCUUUUCCAGGUGAAGUUAUUAAAAGAAACCUAGACUUUUAAAGGCUCGAACGGAGAAGACUGUAGAUGCCCAAGUAAGGAGAGAGUAAAUGAAACGAAGGGUAGUUUAGUAACCAUAGGUAGAGGAAGACUUAGAAGAAGAAUCAUAGGUGAAGUUACUAAAAAGAAAGGGAAACUUGACUUAAUGCUUAAAUGCGAAUAACUGAAUAUGAUUCAUGAUCGAGCACUUUCGCCUGAUUAGGACAAGACUUCAUUGUUGUUGCUGUUCAUGAUGAGUUUGACUUGUAUGAGAUUCAAAGGAGCACAACAAGCAGCACUGGUGCUUAAUGCUUCUCGUCGAUUUCGUUACACCUUGGACUUGAAAAAACAAGAAGAGAAGACACAAAUAUUGAGAAAGAUUAGAGCUCAUGCACAAGCCAUUAGGGCAGCAUAUCUUUUCAAAACAGCCGGGGAUGGUCAAGUGAUUGAAACCACAAAGCCUCCUGCGGCCUCUGCUGGUGAAUUUCCAAUUGGACAAGAGCAACUUGCUUCAGUUUCAAGGGAGCAUGAUACCGUUGCUCUUCAGCAAUAUGGAGGGGUUGCUGGGAUAUUAAAUUUGUUGAAAACCAAUUUAGAGAAGGGGAUUCAUGGUGAUGAUGCUGACUUACGAAAACGAAGGAAUGCAUUUGGUUCCAAUGAUUAUCCUCGAAAGAAAGGAAGAAGUUUCUGGAUGUUUAUGUGGGAUGCUUGCAAGGAUCUGACUUUGAUUAUUUUAAUGGUAGCUGCAGCGGCUUCAUUGGCAUUGGGAUAAAAUCUGAGGGUAUUGAGGAUGGAUGGUAUGAUGGGGGAAGCAUUGCUUUUGCAGUUAUUCUUGUCAUUGUUGUCACAGCUAUAAGUGACUAUAAGCAGUCUCUUCAGUUUCGGAACCUGAAUGAAGAGAAGAGAAAUAUCCAUUUGGAGGUUUGUGUUCUCGUGUUUCGUUUUUUUUUUUCUUUUAUUUUUUGGUGUGUUAUACCCCUCAAUAUUGGUAACCAGGUCCCUGCUGAUGGAAUUUUGAUCACUGGUCACUCUCUUGCAAUUGAUGAAUCAAGUAUGACUGGGGAGAGCAAAAUUGUCCAUAAAGAUUCUAAGGACCCUUUUUUGAUGUCUGGGUGUAAAGUUGCAGAUGGCAGUGGUACUAUGCUGGUAACUGGUGUUGGUGUUAAUACUGGUUUAUUGUUCUGAUUGUGCUACUGGCCAGAUUUUUCUCCGGCAAUACCAGAGAUGCAAGUGGCAAUGUUCAAUUUAAAGCAGGGAAGACUAAAGUUGGUGAUGCUAUUGACGGGGCAAUUAAGACUACAGUUGGUGAUGCUAUUGACGGGGCAAUUAAGAUAGUAACUGUUGCGGUAUGUGCCUUGAUGAAGUCUAAAUUGUGGGAGAAGUCAUGAUGAUGCAAUCCAACAUACUUUUGUCUAUAUUUUAUAUAGUAUGAUUGUAACCAUUGAAUAUUUAGGUCACUAUUGUAGUGGUUGCAGUACCAGAAGGGCUCCCGUUAGCAGUUACCUUAAUUCCCUCUGACCUAGUACUUUUACUUCAUUCUGUUGCUUAGUCUUGGUUUUAGCUGACCUUUUUUAGUUAAAAACAGAAGGAACAGUUUAUAUUGUAUAGUCUGAAUGAUGUGUUACUGUUGGUGCCAGAAAAUGUGGUGGUAAAAUUUUGCUGUUAUGCUUGUAUCUCAUUAUAUUUUAUAAUUUUGAUCCCUUUAAAUUUUUUUUUGAA